rnacentral:misc_RNA from 1 species
CAACCCCAGCAGCAACCUAGUCCACAGCAAAUGAGCCAGCGAACCCCAAUGAGUCCACAGCUGAGUUCUGGAGCAAUCCAUGCAUUAAGUGCUGGUAAUCCAGAAGCUUGUCCUGCUAGUCCGCAGUUGAGCUCUCAGACCCUUGGCUCAGUUGGAAGCAUCACAAAUUCUUCAUUGGAGCUCCAAGGUGUAAACAAAAGCAAUUCUGUUAAUAAUGCGUAGUAAGUUGGACUUCCUGUUUCGAAGCUACAUCCUCUGAGCUAUUCUUUGACGGAAACUAAAAGCUAUGCUGCCACCAUCACAUUGAAGCUAGUUGCAAGGAGAAAUUUCCUCUUUCGUAUAACUGAUACUAAUAUAAUUUGGGGGAUAAAAUAGUAUGUGUCAUGAUUAUUGCUUGCCUG